rnacentral:lncRNA from 1 species
AAAUGAAAUGGAUAAGCAAUUAAAUGGUUUAAUUGAAAUAUGGUCAAGGUUAAUUAAUUAGUUAAUUAAUUAUACGAAAGGUUCGUAUUGGGCUUUUAAGUUAGUUUUGGGCUUCAAGGUCCGAAAAGAUUUGGUACUAGGCCCAUUAUGUUUAAGUUGUAUGACAACUAAAACAAAUAUGGGUAAAUAACCCAAUCACUUAAAAGAUGUCGGCCAUAGUGAGGGAGUGGUAAGUUUUGCUUAAUUGCAAGUUUGCCACUCACCUAAGAAAAGAGAUAUAAAAGCAUCUUUAUAGCUUUUACCUCAGUAGGGUUUUCUUGAGGCAAAGAUGAGAAACAUUUUCUCUCUUUUUUCUCUAAAGGAGACCGGCCACUUAGAGAAGAUAUAGCUAGCAAUCUUUUCUUCUCUAAGUCAUCCAUUUCAUCUUCACACCUCAUCCUUGGUGUGGAGACUUAGAGACACCAAAUCUUUGGCCUUUUUGGAGAUCCUUUCCUCACAUCCUCAAGAAGCAAAGGAGCAUCAAAAGGAAGAAAAUCACAAGGAAGAUCCAAGGAGCUAGUUGGUGACUUGAAGGCCCUCCACUUGGGUGAAUCCCUUGUGUAAACAAGGAUGAGCUUCAAGGGUAAUGAAUCUCUAAAACCUUCUUUCUCUUUAAUGUUGUUAAAGAGUCUUGUGGUUCACCAUUCACUAGGCUUUGAUAGUAUUGGGUUUUAGAAUUGUUUUUGAAUGCAUGCCUACUUUAAUGUGUUAAUAGUUUGCAUAUGUGUUCAAAUAUUCUCACAUGUUCUUAGCUAGGAAAAUUUUUUUCCUUCAGCAUGAUUCCGCCUUUAAUUGUUAAUUGAAUGCGAUAGAUGUUGCUCAGAUGAACAUGUUUUUCACAAAAUUUCCUUCAAGUAGAAGAGGCAGCUUUAGUUGGCAGAAUAGGAAAAAUCUCAGGAAUCGAAGCAGGAAUGGAAGCAGCAGUAGCUUCAACCUUCUUUUUAGGUCAAGGAAUGGGGGUCUCAGUCACUCCAGAGGAUAAAAAAAGGCCUUGGAAGAUCUGUUUUGCCCACCAAGGGAGGAAGAGAUUGGCCCAAGCCUUUUCCAGGUCCCUAUUACAAACCAAGAAGAGUUCGUUGAGAGGUAAGUCUUUAGUUUAGAUUGAAACAAAGUUGGAGAAGGAAGUUGGUAUACCUG